CGCGAAUAUUCAAAUUGUAUCAUUCUUCAUUCGGCAGUUCAUUGUAACGGACGUUUAGUAAUUCGCGGACCCAAGAAUUUGGGUCCUGUUGGUGAUUAAACAAGUCUGUGUUAAAAGAAGAAUUAUUAUUUGGUCAACUCUUCCCUGCGACCAAAUUUGGUGACCCCGCGUUGAACUUAGUGUGAAGAGGUUCCAUCACGAUCAUGGCCCAAGCUGGAUCCACGACUGCUCCGCAGCGCCGGUACAACGCCGAUUUCCUAUCCGUACCAUUCACGCCGCUCUCGCUCGACAUGUUCUUCGCUCUGCUGGAAUCAGCGUUUGACAUCGAAGGCAUCACCGAUGAGGCCGUGAAAUAUCACAUUCUCGCCAGAGAUGUUAUGCUACACGAAAUCGGAGACGCGGCGCGCGACCUCAUCACCAGUAAGCCGACUGAAAUGCCAUAUACGUCAUUGAAGAAUGUUCUGCUGCAGACUCUCAAGCCAAAAAGCUUCACAGCAAGCGUCGAGAAAAUGCAAGCCUUGCAGAUGGGGACUUUGCGUCCUUCUGAAUUUUUGAACCGCCUGAGAAAUUGUGCGAACGAUGAAUUGCGCACCAAUCCAAUCUUCAUCGAAGAGCUCACGAAAUGCUGGCGCAAUGCUCUGCCCGCCGGAUGGCACCCUGCCCUGAUUCUCGCUUCGGAUUUGACGAAGGCAGCAGAGGCAGCUGACGCCCUGUACGAUGCUUAUGGUGCUGCAAUGCCUUCUCAAGCAGCAAGCGCACCUGCAACUGUAUCUGUCGCUGCAGUGCAAAAGCCCAAAUCUCUCGAAGCUCGAGUAGCCUUAAUCGAGGAAAAUAUUGCCAAGCUUCUCAACCUCAUGGAGAAGGACGAGCGAGGACGCCAACCCGACCGCGGUCGAAGCAGGUCUCUGAACGCACGACUCGUGCAGACCGACCUUUGUUUCUACCACGACAGGUUUGCUAAGAAAGAAAAGAAAAGAAAAGAAAGAAAGAAUGCGAUUCUUACACGGCAACAAUGAAAUUAUACAGACCAAAUACAACAAUCAAAUCAACAAUACGCUAUAGACCUAAAAGAGAAGAAAGUGUUAGCCAAGUAGCCUACGUCAGCCUAAAUUUUGUUAAAUUUGAAACAGGCAAAGUCUAAAAAAAUGAAUUGAGAGGCCCUUCAAAUUUGAUAAUAAUAAAAUUAUUGUUGAAAAAUGCAGAAA